ACUUACAGUUCGAUUAUCUUAAAGGGUUAAAACAUCAAAGACUGUUGAUGUCCAAUUACUCAACUCAAAUGAAUAAUGGGCUGGGCCUAUUACUCCAGUUAAACCCUUUUCUUCUUUCCUAAAACCCUGCGUUUCUUUGCUCAACAAGAACUCAGCUUUGCCGCCACAACUACACCCGAGACUUCACGCGCCUCUAUAGUACCUCACCUAAGUAGAUGGCAUCUCUUGAAGAAGAGAACCCUAAUGAUGAUACCCUUAAAUUUAUGGAACUUGCUAUAGAACAGGCAAAGCUUGCUUUGGACAGCCUUGAAGUUCCUGUUGGCUGUGUGAUUGUUGAAGAUGGAAAGGUCAUAGCGUGUGGAAGGAAUCAAACUAAUGAGACACGAAAUGCCACGAGGCACGCAGAGAUGGAAGCCAUUGAUACUCUUCUUAAGCAGUGGAGAGAAAAAAGGCUUUCAACGUCAGAAGUUGCUGAAAUUUUUUCAAAAUGUAACCUCUAUGUUACAUGUGAACCAUGCAUAAUGUGUGCAGCAGCUUUAUCAAUUGUUGGUAUCAAGGAAGUAUUUUAUGGCUGUGCUAAUGAUAAAUUUGGUGGGUGUGGAUCAAUACUGUCAUUGCAUUCAAGCAGCUCUGAGCCACUCAUGAGCGGAAAGGUUUCAAAUGCACUGGAGGGAUAAUGGCAUCAGAAGCAGUCUCUCUUUUCCGCAAUUUUUACGAGCAAGGAAACCCUAAUGCUCCAAAGCCUCAUAGACCUCUAGUUCACCGGGCUACACAAUGAUUAUGUUUAAUCAAGUUGUGGAUUAGACCAUCUUGCCUUUACAGUAAAGUUGACCAACUAGUUCUUAAGGGUUGCCAGAAGGGGAUGUAGAUGCAAAAGAAGACUUCUUUUUUUUUUUUUUUUUUUGUAAAGGUGUUUGGA